rnacentral:lncRNA from 1 species
AUGGCCUUUGCGCCCUCCGAGCAUGACAUCGUCUCUCGCCUUGCGUCCUCGGCUGCCAAGCGUUCAGCGUCGCGAAGAGGAAGGGGGAGACAGGGUUGCUCUCUCUUGCCUUCCCCUCGGUGUAUUUGUUUGCGGGGGCUCUGGUUGCUUUCCCCCUUUUGGCAAAGGAGAGCGAUGCAACCCGGCAGAUACCUUGGGAGCGAGGAGGGUAUUUUGGGGAGUUGCAGUGUUGUGCGGAAGAUCAUGUCUGUGCCCUGUGGUGCUGUCAGCAGUGACAGAUCCCAGAUGCCGUCGCUACUGUAUGGCAGAUUGAGUUUCUCAGCAGAAAACUCUCUCCCUCCCUCCCAAACGUCUUCAAAAACCUUCUCCAGAUACUGCGGGUCACUUCGGCUCAAACGGGGAGAGAAAGGGGGGAAAAAAGGCUUUUCCUCUCUCCUCCCUCUCUCUUCCUCCCGCCGGAUUUCUCUGGGGUGCGCGGGGGACCAUGGCAGGGCCCUUGUGCACCCGGGGGGCUGGGGGGACUCCUCUCACCCCCGUCCUGCUGAGAGCCCGUCGCCGAGCACGGGGACCGUAGUCCAGGCCCACAAGUGGAUCAAACCAGUCCUGCACUGUUGCAUUUAGUCCAUAGCAAAACUCCCUUUGAGGAAGAUUCUGCAGAUUUAAGGACUGAGGAGUUAGGACUGGGAGCUAAGGAAAGGACAUGAAUGACUUCCUUCACAGCUGGUUUUAAAAAGCCAUCUGCUUUCUACAGUCAAGCCAAAACUAAGGGGAGAUGAUCUGAGGUUUAGAAACAUGCAGGAUAAUUUUCACACCAAAUAAGAAAAAUGAGAAAUUAUCUUAACAUAUUGUAACUUGUCAUAAAAAUACAUGUUUCUUUCCAGCUUUAAAAGAGGACUUUAUAAAAUCUACUGUCUUUGAUUUGUUAAGUCGAUUUUAUAUUGAUUUUUUAAUUCAUCUGUUUUUAAGAAAGCGGAAUGAAACACUCGAUGUUUCUAUUAUUUUGAUUGGUGCUUCAUUGUAUAAGAAUUUGGUUAUUGAAACAUACACUAAAUAUUGCACUGUAAAUUGUGUUGUAACUUAUGCAAUACCUUUUGGUAUUAAUAGAAAAAAAUCAAGAUUGCAAAAAUGGUAUUUAAUUUUUUAUUUUAUUUAGUUUAAUAAAAAACUCACUUGACUGC